rnacentral:misc_RNA from 1 species
GAUGAAGAAGCAGCGAAAUGCGAUAAGUAAUGUGAAUUGCAGAAUUCAGUGAAUCAUCGAAUCUUUGAACGCACAUUGCGCCCCCUGGUAUUCCGGGGGGCAUGCCUGUUCGAGCGUCAUUUCACCACUCAAGCCUCGCUUGGUAUUGGGCAACGCGGUCCGCCGCGUGCCUCAAAUCGACCGGCUGGGUCUUCUGUCCCCUAAGCGUUGUGGAAACUAUUCGCUAAAGGGUGUUCGGGAGGCUACGCCGUAAAACAACCCCAUUUCUAAGGUUGACCUCGGAUCAGGUAGGGAUACCCGCUGAACUUAAGCAUAUCAAUAAGCGGAGGA